rnacentral:rRNA from 1 species
UACGAAGGGGGCUAGCGUUGCUCGGAAUCACUGGGCGUAAAGCGCACGUAGGCGGCUUGUUAAGUCAGGGGUGAAAUCCCGGAGCUCAACUCCGGAACUGCCUUUGAUACUGGCGAUCUUGAGUCCGGGAGAGGUGAGUGGAACUGCGAGUGUAGAGGUGAAAUUCGUAGAUAUUCGCAAGAACACCAGUGGCGAAGGCGGCUCACUGGCCCGGUACUGACGCUGAGGUGCGAAAGCGUGGGGAGCAAACAGG